GGCCCAAAUAUGAAGUAGAGUAGAUUAGAAAAAUCACCUGAUUCACCAAACUACUCUACUUCGGAUUUGUGCCC
rfam:Haemonchus contortus, ISE/inbred ISE, WGS project CAVP01000000 data, contig: Hcontortus_33772